UACGUAUGGUGCAAGCGUUAUCCGGGUUUACUGGGUGUAAAGGGAGCGCAGGCGGCGCGUUAAGCCUGGUGUGAAAGCCCGCGGCCCAACCGCGGGACUGCAUUGGGAACUGGCGCGCUGGAGUGCCGGAGGGGUAGGCGGAAUUCCUAGUGUAGCGGUGAAAUGCGUAGAUAUUAGGAGGAACACCAGUGGCGAAGGCGGCCUACUGGACGGUGACUGACGCUGAGGCUCGAAAGCGUGGGGAGCAAACAGG
rnacentral:rRNA from 1 species